rnacentral:lncRNA from 1 species
GUGUGUGUUGAUGCAGUGCCAGACUAGAAUGAGCUUCCCAAAUCAUGUGACCACUUUGGCGCCCUGCCAAUGAACAUGGCAGUCACGUGUUUGAUGAACCGUGGAAACAUCAAUUUUCUGCUAAUCUGCGAACCGCAGAAAAUAACAUUAUGAUAAUGAUUGUGGGAACAAUGAAGACGAACAGUCAUGUGACGAGAAAUGCUCCAUUCACUAUAGCAACUGGAAUGCACAUGGAUGGGGUCAUAUAGGUUACCUCGACCGCCAAAAAGUCCAAUGUCCAAAUAACCUCGAUGUUCUUCAAAUGUUUGAAUUGCGCCGAGAAGGAUACAACAUUAGGUACAAGUACAGAUGCUGUACCUUGAAAGCAUCUGUCUGCCGCAAUGAAAAAGUAAUGAAUUCUUUUACCUAUCAUGAUGACGACGGCGAAGCGUUCUAUUUGGACCGGCAACGAAUGUCUUGCAAUGACCAUGGUUAUGUCCGCGACUUUUGGCUGGAAAGGAAUGGUGGGCACGAUCAUAUCAGGUACAACUAUCACUGUUGCACAUUGUUCAAUGAAAAUCAACGUAAAAGAAUGAAAUGCGACACACAUUAUACCAGUUUCACUACUGACGGAGAAGGCAAGAAUUUCUAUCUUGACAGGCAAAAAGUUGAAUGUAAAAAAAAGGGGUACUUUUUAACCACGUUCCAACUGCACAGAAAUGGUGGACAUGAUCAAUGGAGAUAUGAAUAUCGCUGCUGUAAAAUUGAACCUUAGAACCUGAGAACAGACCUGCUCAUCGAUUUAACUGAUUGCUCAUCGUGUGUUAAUGCUUUAUAUUUUUUACAUCGAAUUCUUUUCUAUGAUUGCUAUUGCAGUAUUCCCUACUAGGAUAAUCCGGCAUAAACAAAAUAUGUUGCUUACUUAUACUAAUUAGUAGCAUUAUAUAGUAGCGGUAUUAUAUAAAACACAUACAUUAAACAGGAUGAGCCCGGACUAAGUGUGUAAUUUUACGCCUGUGGUUUCAUGGGAUAUCUACCUCACAUUCUGAGGUAAAUAUCCUAGCGUGCAUUGCGUGUUGUUGUUGCUAUCGCCUCACAGAAUUUCUCUAUUUGCUGCUUUCUAUUCUAUAUUUCUGUGUAUUUGAAUACAUAUAGUCCGUUUAGUUAUAUCAAAUAUUAAAAAACUCAUUAAUAAUUCAGAAGCAAAACACAAAGAAAAAUCAUAAGCGUGUCGUGGUUUUAAAUGUGAUAAAAAAAUCAUGUUAAUUUACAUAAACUUUAGCUUUGAUUUUCUCGGUUUAGACAAAGUUUAUUUUAAAAAUUACUUCGCCAAUGAACUCGUAUAAGGGCAAAAUGCGUCUCGCGCAGAUACAGACUAUACACAAUUCUGUUAAAUAUUAAUAAUAAUAACAAUAACAACAGUCAGUUUGAGCGAAGGCAAAAUGCAUCUCACACAAAUACGGCCUUUUGGCCAUUUAGUUAAAUAACAAUAAUAAUGACAAUAAUAACAAGAGUUAGUUUGAGCGAAGGGCAUGACUGUGUCACGCAAAUACAGCCUUGUGACAGUUUAGUUCAAUAAUCCCAAUAACAACAGUUAGUUUGAGCGAAGGGUAAAAUGCGUCGUCUCAUGCAAAUACGGCCAUUUCAUUUUCAUAAUAAUAACAACAGUCAGUUACAGCGAAGGGCAAAAUGCGUCUCAUGGAAAUACGGCCCUUUGACCAUUUAGUGAAAUAAUAAUAACAACAGUCAGUUUAAGCCAACGGCAAAAUGUUUAGGUAAGUCGCCUAACGCAAAUACCUACAGUCAAUUUAGUUGAAUAAUCACGAGAGUUUAUUUGACCGAAGGGCAAAAUGUUCGCGACGACAAGCGUAUGUGAAACAGGAAACUACUUCUGUUGCCACGGAAACGGCAGAGUCAUUAGCCAAUCAUAGCAAAUGAAGCGUUGACCCAUCCCAUAUCAUAUUGCUGGCGAAAAUUACACACUUAGUCCGGGCACGUGUUCUAAUGGAGUUACUUUAAAUUUUAAUUUUCUCCUUAAUUAGCCAUUUCUUAUAAAAUUUGAAAUUGCCAAGUCGUGUGGCUUCAGAAGCAAUUCUAGAAACAAUUAAUAAAUGGUCUCUUAGAUGUGAACAUUCAU